rnacentral:misc_RNA from 1 species
AAGUCGUAACAAGGUUUCCGUAGGUGAACCUGCGGAAGGAUCAUUAACACAAUUUUACUGUGAUAAAAUCCGUUGAAUUCUCGAAUUCAAUGGUAUCCACCCCAUUAUUGACGAACUUUUCUAGAUGUUACAACAUAGAGCUAGUCUUUAUGUUUUUAACAUUCUAAACCUUUUCUAUAUCCACACAAAUUUAAACCCCUUUUACAACAUGUAUUAGACUGAAAUGAAAAUUUUCUAUCAAAAAAUUGAUAAAAACAACUUUUAACAACGGAUAUCUUGGCUCUC